AGUGGCAUCUUAGCAAACAUAGUCUUACUCUUCAUCUCUCAGUAUUUAAGUCACAGUGCAGCUUCCUGCCAUUAUUACAGCAAUUAAAAUGCAAUUACUUUUUCAUCUUUAUUUCAGUUCUUGAAUAAUUAAAGCCACUUUACAUCAAGGGUGAUCCAUAAAGGAAGUCAUUUUGCAUGUGAAAAGCUGUGAAGAGUGGAAGACAUUGGGGUAUCGCAGUCAGCAGAGAGCAUCUGAGAUUGGUUAUAGCACGAUUUUUAUUCCAUUUGAUGUAGAAAUUGACCAGUCCUACAACAGCUGCAGUGAGAGGAGAUGGUGACAUCCCCGCGCAUCCCUUCCCCUGUGUCAGACCUUCAGAGAAUCCACCACCAGCUGAUGGUGGCUUCAGGCACAGCUUCACCAUUUUGGCUCUGGAUGUGUUUUAAUAUCAGUCUGGGGGGAGCAGUGGAUGUUAGAUGUAAAAUUCCCCUUAAAAAGCAGUGCACUUCAAGGAAACUGUUCUAGAGUGAGUUCCGGGAGUCCUCUCCCCACAUACAGUGGUCUGUUAAAUGCAGAUGCAACUUCAGCUGAACUCAACACUGGGACACUGGAACUGGAAAAAUGCCCUAUACCUCCAUUCCCACCACAAGACUGGGUGUCAGUGUGGCACAUCAGAUCACAGGAAGGUAUGGGACACCUCCACACGUUCCUUGUGUUUCCUACUGACAGACAACCAUGAUCACUAGAGAAAAAUUAAGCUGAGACUCAUCACCUCAUCAGCAUAUGGGCUGCAAAGUAUUAAUACAACAAAUCAAACACUCUCCCUCCAAAGUAAGGUCCUUUGGCCCCCGCGAGGAACUGCCCCUCUGAUGAAGAAACCCAGACUUCCAUUUGGGUUACAGCUUCGCUUUAGCAUCAAGUUGAAAAUCCCAUUCUAUUGGCACAGUGAACAAGGGCUGAAGUAAGGAAAGGAAAGAUUGCUUUUUUUUUAAAAAAAAAAGUUGGUUUUUAUUACAGCUGGAAGGUGGAACUGAAAACUCUGGAAAGCCACAUCAAGCUCCAUGUAGUCAGAUUCCCUCAGUGAUUAAUUAAUCAGAAAAUAAAUCAAAUAAACUGUGUUUUUCUCUGUUUCUUUCGCUGGAUCCCAUGUUAUGCUUUUGGCAAUCCCAAGGGGAGCCCUCUGCUGCUGACUGUUGCAAUCCACUUUAUUCUCUUGCCCUUUGUUCAGUCCCAGGAUGCUUCCACCUGCCACGAGUAUGAGGAGAUGAUAACAAAAACCCUGCAGUCUAUGGGGAAUGAUCACUUUUAUUACAAUCUGUUUUCAGGCAGCAUGCCUUUUUGUGUUCAGUUCUCUGCACUGCAAUCUGCACUGCUCAGUGACGUUGGGACAAACUGAGUUACUCCUUCUCGCUCAUUAAAAAUAUCUUGUGUCUGGGAGGGAGCUGAGGACAGAAGGGGGAGAGAGAAAGCAUCAUUAUGAGCAUGAAUUGCUCUCUGAUCUGGUUUGGUUUCAUCCUGUCCUGUGGAGUAGAAAGUGUUCUGACUGGCUUUGGCAAAGCCAGAAUUUGAAAGUUUUUAAUUACCAUCAGCCAUUGCAUAUGCUUGUUAUAGAGCCAGCAUAAGAAAAAAUCAGUCAAAUUGGUUUAUGGUUUGUUUUUUUGUUGUUUGUUUUUUUCAUGAAGCUAUGGGUGCCAUGAAGCGUAAAUAAAUACAUAUAUACUUUGGUUU
rnacentral:lncRNA from 7 species